rnacentral:rRNA from 2 species
UGCGAAUGCUGACAUAAGUAACGAUAAAGCGGGUGAAAAGCCCGCUCGCCGGAAGACCAAGGGUUCCUGUCCAACGUUAAUCGGGGCAGGGUGAGUCGACCCCUAAGGCGAGGCCGAAAGGCGUAGUCGAUGGGAAACGGGUUAAUAUUCCCGUACUUGGUGUUACUGCGAAGGGGGGACGGAGAAGGCUAUGUUGGCCGGGCGACGGUU